rnacentral:rRNA from 1 species
UUUCCGAGGUGAACCUGCGGAAGGAUCAUUG